UGGGGAAUAUUGGACAAUGGGCGAAAGCCUGAUCCAGCAAUGCCGCGUGUGUGAUGAAGGCCUGCGGGUUGUAAAGCACUUUCGAUGGGGAAGAAAUGUUCAAAACUAAUAAUUUUGAAAGUUGACGUUACCCAUAUAAGAAGCACCGGCAAACUCUGUGCCAGCAGCCGCGGUAAUACAGAGGGUGCAAGCGUUAAUCGGAGUUACUGGGCGUAAAGGGCGCGUAGGCGGACUAUUUAGUCGGGUGUGAAAUCCCUGGGCUUAACCUAGGAAUUGCAUUCGAUACUGGUAGUCUAGAGUAUGAUAGAGGAAAGCGGAAUUCUCGGUGUAGUGGUAAUAUACGUAGAUAUCGAGAAGAACACCGGUGGCGAAGGCGGCUUUCUGGAUCAAUACUGACGCUGAGGCGCGAAAGCGUGGGGAGCAAACAGG
rnacentral:rRNA from 1 species